rnacentral:lncRNA from 1 species
AGACAGAGGGAGAGACAAUGGAAGCAGAGAUUUUAGUAAUACAGUUUCCAGCCAAGGAACGUUCAAAAUGGCCAACAACCACCAGAAGUUAGGAAGAGGCAAGGAAGGAUGCUUCUGGAGAACCUGCAGAGAGGGCAUGGCCCUUCCCAACACCUUGAUUUUGGACUUCUAGCCUCAAAAUUAAACAAGAAUUGAAAUGGUGUGACUAUGGAAGCUGUGGCUUUGUUGCCUCACCUAUCCCAAAUCAGUUGGUUUGCUAUCUGCAGGGAAUAAAGAGCAAGUUAUUAAAAGCAGUAAAAAGUAAACACGCAAUUAUUGAAUAGUUGGUUAUUCGUCCUCAUUUCAUUUGGGCUGUCUGGCAGAUGUACUGACUUCAUUCUCAACUCUUAAGAGUGAUCUUAGGAAAAUCGUCUCAUGUUGCCCUGUUUACAUGGAACAUUUUAAUAAUCAGAAUACCAGAAAAUGUCGUGUGAAGUAUAGUGAACGACAUUCACAUUAUCUAUACAGGGUAUCUAAACAUAUUUUCCUGUCUCUAGCCUCCUUCUAUUAAUUUUCCUUAUUUUGUAUUAU